GUGCCUGUUUUAAACAAGUGUGACAGAGACUCCUGACAACACUGACUGGUGCCCUAGUCAUGUACUGCUCUCAAAGUUUUCAAGCAGAAGUGGGGUGUACCUGGCAUCUUGAGCUCAGCAGCAGUACCAGAGCCCUACAGGAAAUAUUUCAGUGAAACUUGAGGUGAUGAGGAAGGGUGGAAUGCUAUAUGGUAGAGACACCUUCAGUGGAGUUUGACAUCUCUCUGAAUACCUAGAGAACAAGGGAAAAUGACAGAGUUACGUACUAUAUAGAACUAAUAUCAGUACACGCAAGACUUUGUGCAUUAUUUUGCAAGCGCACUUGUUUGGAUAAAGAUUAAGAAAGGUUUCUUAUCGCUGAUCGUGUGGAUCUGGUUUUCUACUUGCUAUGAAUGUUAGAGUUUGAAGAAAGCUUUGAGAUAAUGGGCUGUGGAAGACAGAAGAGUGAACCAGUCUCCUUCCUUGUUCUUCAGUUCAGACGAUCAUUAGUUUGGACAACUGGAGGAUGGAGAUCCCAGGACAUACUGAAAGAGCAAGCCUAAUCCUGAAGAUCAGCAAAUCUGAAAAUAUGGGAGCAGAACAACCAACCAAAAAAAAUGA